AUCAAUUAACAACCUUAUAUUGGGAAAGCUCUAUUGUGACCACUGUGGUACAAUGCAUAUACAGAGGAAUCAUAACUAUUCCUGCAAGCUGAAAUUCAAGGAGCAAUCUAUCAUUGACCAAAAUCCUCACCAGGUACAUGGUUUAGUUCAAGAUAGAAAUGGAAAAACGAUAGCAAUACUAUUUGGAAAAUGGGAUGAGAGCAUGCAUUGUGUGGAUGGAAAUUGUUCUGGGAAGGGAAAAGGAUUGGAGUCUUGACCUGAUGCCCAGUAGCUUUGGAAGAGGAGCAAGCCACCCCAGUUUCCUACAAGAUAUAACUUGCCACGCUUUACCAUCACCAUGAAUGAACUCACCCUUGGAUUAAAGUUGCAGGAAAAGUUGUCCCCUAUAGAUUUAAGGCUCAGGCCUAAUCAAAGGUAUCUAGACAUUGAUUGUUACAAAUUUUUAUCCCUCGCCACAGGUAACAUACAUUUAAGUAACCAUUGUUGUUAAAUUAUUCAUUUAAGUUAUAAUUUCCUGAAGCUUGUA